rnacentral:rRNA from 1 species
AGAGUUUGAUCCUGGCUCAGAAUCAACGCUGGCGGCGUGCCUCAGACAUGCAAGUCGAACGAUUAAAGCUCUCUUCGGAGAGUGCAUAAAGUGGCGCACGGGUGAGUAACACGUAAGUAAUCUACCCUCGGGUGGGGAAUAACAUCGGGAAACCGAUGCUAAUACCGCAUAAUGCAGCGGCACCGCAAGGUGACAGUUGUUAAAGGAGUAAUUCGCCUGAGGAGGAGCUUGCGGCAGAUUAGCUAGUUGGUAAGGUAAUGGCUUACCAAGGCUACGAUCUGUAACCGGUCUAAGAGGACGGUCGGUCACACUGACACUGAAUAACGGGUCAGACUCCUACGGGAGGCAGCAGUCGGGAAUUUUGGGCAAUGGGCGAAAGCCUGACCCAGCAACGCCGCGUGAAGGAUGAAGUAUUUCGGUAUGUAAACUUCGUAAGAAUAGGAAGAAUAAAUGACGGUACUAUUUGUAAGGUCCGGCUAACUACGUGCCAGCAGCCGCGGUAAUACGUAGGGACCAAGCGUUGUUCGGAUUUACUGGGCGUAAAGGGCGCGUAGGCGGCAAUUCAAGUCAGCUGUGAAAUCUCCGGGCUUAACUCGGAACGGUCAGCUGAUACUGCUUUGCUAGAGUGCAGAAGGGGCAAUCGGAAUUCUUGGUGUAGCGGUGAAAUGCGUAGAUAUCAAGAGGAACACCUGAGGUGAAGACGGGUUGCUGGGCUGACACUGACGCUGAGGCGCGAAAGCUAGGGGAGCAAACGGGAUUAGAUACCCCGGUAGUCCUAGCCCUAAACGAUGAAUACUUGG